rnacentral:rRNA from 1 species
GACGAACGCUGGCGGCGUGCUUAACACAUGCAAGUCGAACGGUAAGGCCAUGCUUUUGUGGGGUGCUCGAGUGGCGAAAAGGGGAGUAACACGUGAGUAAACUCUCCUUGACUUUGGGAGAACUUCAGGAAACUGGGUAUAAUACACGGCAGGAGCUCCUGCUGCAUGGGGGGGGUUGGUAAGUUGCGUCGGUUCGGGAUGGAAUCGCGGCUUUUCAGCUUGUUGGUGGGGUAGUGGCUUACCAAGGCUUUGACGGGUAGCCGGACUGGGAGGGUGACCGGCCACAGUGGGCCUGGGGAACCGCCCGUACUGCUACUUCGGGCAGGAGUGGGAACUUGUGCAAGAUGGGCGGAGGCCUGAUGCAGCAACGCCGCGUGCGGGAUGACUGUUGUCGGUUUGUAACCGGUGUGAGCCUGGGACGAAGAGUCAGUGACGGUAACGGGUAAAGAAGCACCGGCUAACUACGUG